ACUUCUAUGAUGAUUAUUUCAGAUUAUUAAAGCGGCCAGUAUGGCCUGCCUUAAUGUUUUGAAGCAGGAGAUAAAAGCUGUAGAAGCUGCAUUUCACAAAACUCAUGUUAGGUUACAGAUAGUGUCAGCUAGUGUUGAUGAGUUAACUUGUAAGUUUGUGGAUACCACUGGUCGGAAGCAUAUUAUUCAUGCAAAUAUCACGGAAACAUACCCUCAGUCGCCUCCAGUCUGGUUUUCUGAAUCGGAGGACGCUAAAGUAUCGGAGGCAGUUUCUAUUUUAGCCUCCACUUCCGGACUAGACAACCAUCUACUAUAUCAGGUUAAGAUGUUGGUUCGUGAGCUAUGUAAUCUAUUCUCAGCUCCCCUGCCCCCUGAGGUUGAUACCCUAAUGGUUAAUAUACAACCAAUGAAGGUAGUAGAGGCUGAGGAGGAGAGUGAGAGUGAGGUUGAGAUGGAGGAUGAGGACGAGGAUGAGAUCCCCCUAGAGAUGGAGGAUAUCGAGGCUAUUAGUAAGAAGGCCCGACAGGACGAGGAUUUGAACACAGAGCACUUACAGGUACUGGAACGACUAAAAGCAAACCAGAGGCGUGAUUACAUGAAGGGGACAGUAUCUGGGAGUGUCCAAGCUACGGACAGACUAAUGAAAGAACUACGAGAUAUUUACAAAUCUCCUAACUUCAAGUCUGGAGCAUAUCAGGUUGAGUUAGUGAAUGACAGCCUGUACGAAUGGAACGUGAAAAUCCAACGGGUUGACCCUGACUCCCCCCUUGCCAAUGACCUCCUUCUCCUUAGAGAAAGAGAGGGCAAGGAUCAUAUUCUUCUUUCUUUCAUGUUUAAGGACACGUUUCCAUUUGAUCCACCGUUUGUCCGAAUGGUUCAUCCGGUUCUGAGCGGCGGUUAUGUUCUGGACGGCGGAGCCCUAUGUAUGGAGCUGAUGACACCCCAGGGUUGGAGUUCAGCAUAUACCGUGGAAGCUGUGAUACUUCAGAUAUCCGCGACAUUGGUGAAAGGGAAAGCAAGGAUAAAGUUCGAUGCUCCCAAGGGAACCUAUAGUCUCGCAAGAGCCCAAUCCUCCUUCCGAUCUCUAGUUCAUAUUCAUGAGAAGAAUGGAUGGUUCACCCCGCCCCAAUCUGACGGUUAAUUGUCGUCUUCUGUUCCUACAGUGAAAGAAACCAAACCUAUUCUUCUUUACACACUUAUAUAGUAGCAUCGGGAUCUUUCUCAUCUCAUCCAUGAUCAUUCAUCAUCUUGCAAUUUUAUUCACGAUCAAUGAUCAUCUUGUAAUGUUUAUUUAUGAUAAUUUUUCAUCAUGUAAUGUUUAUUCAUGAUCAAUAAUCAUCUUGUAAUGUUUAUUCAUGAUCAAUGAUCAUCUUGUAAUGUUAUUUAUGUCAAUGAUCAUCUUGUAAUGUUUAUUUAUGAUAAUUUUUCAUCUUGUAAUGUUUAUUCAUGAUCAUUCGUCAUCUUAUAAUGCUUAUUUAUGAUCAAUUAUCAUCUUGUGAGUUUUAUCAUGAUCAUUGACCUGGUAUGUUUAAAAUUUGAUCAUUUAUGAUCUACUUAGUAUUAAUCUUUUGUCAUCAUUGGGCUACUAAAGAAGUGUGAGGCCUCUUUCAUGAUCAUUGAUUCGUUAAAUGUAACAAGGAUCAAUAAUCAAUCAUUAUAAAUAAUAAUUAUUCAUCUCUUGAACAGUAAAAGUAAUGUGUCACUUGUUGGGUUCGCAACCAGAACCAUACUUUAAUAUUCGGCUGUCAAAUUCUGGUUUCACAUAAAUGUAAACACCGACUUUCUGCCAUAGAAGCACAAUUAGAAGUAAAUAAAGAUUCAGGGGUAUUUGAGUUUUCAAAUAUAUCUCCCUAUAUACAGGAUCAUCAUUCACCGCUUGCAACCUCGGAUAUAAACUGUGUUUAGAAGCAUGGAAAUACUUAGUGAAAAUUUUCAUUUAUGUUGGAAAUGGGUCAAUGGUAAUCGUAUUGCAGUGAUUUGUGUAGCUUUAAGUUAUUUACCGACUAAGGAGUUGUGAGCUAAAUUAAUUUUACUUGUUUUUAGAACCUCGUCGUUAUUCAGGCGAUUAACAAAGAAAUGCCCUAAAAUGUCCAAAAAUGCAUAUUAAAAAAGAUUAUUUCUCAACUGUCCAGUCGUGAUAAAGUUAUAGGUUUUGUUCUUCGCUCGAUGCUCUGCAACAAGCAAAUAGAUUAAAUGAAUAAAUAUAUGUCGUAUUUCCUUCGCUGUACAAUCUGUUCAUCUAAUUUUGAAUAAAAAAUUUAUUAGUGUA
rnacentral:misc_RNA from 1 species